GGGGUACCGAAGGACUCAUUCAAUAUUUGAAUGAUCUCUUCUGACUGCGCAUCCUCGAACUUACGACUAAGUUCAUCAUUCAUAGCUACCCUCAUCAUACAACAUACAGUCGUGUAGUCAUUAAACCACUUCACAUAAGUGUCUCUUACGGUACGAGGAGUGUUGGUGCAGAUUCUUCAGGUGCAUCAUCCGUAAGGACAUAUAAAAUCUUCUCAUACUCCAAGACAAUCUUCAACUUUCAAUAUCAGCUAUCGAAGUUAGGUCCGAUGAGCUUGUCGCUGUCCAACA
rnacentral:lncRNA from 1 species